rnacentral:rRNA from 1 species
UACGUAGGGGGCGAGCGUUGUCCGGAGUUACUGGGCGUAAAGGGCGCGCAGGCGGUCUGGUAAGUUUGGAGUGACAGUGUUCGGCUUAACUGAGCAAGGCCUUCGAAAACUGCUAGACUUGAGCACUCAAGAGGGACAUAGAAUUCCGGGUGGAGUGGUGAAAUGCGUAGAUAUCCGGAGGAAUACCAAAGGCGAAGGCAGUGUCCUGGGGAGUGUCUGACGCUCAGGCGCGAAAGCUAGGGGAGCGAACAGG